AUUGAACGCUGGCGGAAUGCUUUACACAUGCAAGUCGAACGGCAGCACGGGGGCGAACCCUCGGUGGCGAGUGGCGAACGGGUGGAGUAAUACAUCGGAACGUGCCCACGUCGUGGGGGAGUAACGUAGCGAAAGCUACGCUAAUACCGCAUACGAUCUACGGAUGAAAGCGGGGGGAGUCGCAAGACCUCGCGCGAUUGGAGCGGCCGAUGGCAGAUUAGGUAGUUGGUGGGGUAAAGGGCUCACCAAGCCUUCGAUCUGUAGCUGGUCUGAGAGGACGACCAGCCACACUGGGGACUGAGACACGGCCCAGACUCCUACGGGAGGGCAGCAGUGGGGGAAUUUUUGGACAAUGGGCGAAAGCCUGAUCCAGCCAUUCCGCGUGCAGGAUGAAGGCCCUCGGGUUGUAAACUGCUUUUGUACGGAACGAAACGGCCUUUUCUUAAUACAGAGGGCGUAAUGACGGUACCGUAAGAAUAAGCACCGGCUAACUACGUGCCAGCAGCCGCGGUAA
rnacentral:rRNA from 1 species